rnacentral:rRNA from 1 species
UACGAAGGGGGCUAGCGUUGUUCGGAAUCACUGGGCGUAAAGGGCGCGUAGGCGGCUAUCUAAGUCGGAUGUGAAAUCCCUCGGCUUAACCAAGGAAGUGCACCCGAAACUGGAUAGCUUGAGUACAGAAGAGGAUCGCGGAAUUCCCGGUGUAGAGGUGAAAUUCGUAGAUAUCGGGAGGAACACCAGUGGCGAAGGCGGCGAUCUGGGCUGAUACUGACGCUGAGGUGCGAAAGCGUGGGGAGCAAACAGG